GGUCUAAAGGGUCCGUAGCCGGUUUAAUCAGUCUUCUGGGAAAUCUAAUCGCUUAACUAUUAGGCUUCCAGGGGGAUACUGUUAGACUUGGGACCGGGAGAGGUAAGAGGUACUGCAGGGGUAGGAGUGAAAUCUUGUAAUCCCUGUGAGACCACCAGUGGCGAAGGCGUCUUACCAGAACGGGUCCGACGGUGAGGGACGAAAGCUGGGGGCACGAACCGGAUUAGAUACCCGGGUAGUCCCAGCUGUAAACGAUGCUCGUUAGGUGUCAGGAACGGUGCGACUGUUUCUGGUGCCGAAGGGAAGCCGUGAAACGAGCCACCUGGGAAGUACGGCCGCAGGGCUGAAACUUAAAGGAAUUGGCGGGGGAGCACUACAACGGGUGGAGCCUGCGGUUUAAUUGGACUCAACGCCGGAAAACUCACCGGGGGCGACAGCAAUAUGUAGGUCAGGUUAAAGGUCUUACCUGAAUCGCUGAGAGGAGGUGCAUGGCCGUCGUCAGUUCGUACUGUGAAGCAUCCUGUUAAGUCAGGCAACGAGCAAGACCCGUGCCCACUGUUACCAGCAUAUCCUUUAUGGAUGAUGGGGACUCUGUGGGGACCGCUGCUGCUAAAGCAGAGGAAGGUGCGGGCUACGGUAGGUCAGUAUGCCCCGAAUCUCCCGGGCUACACGCGGGCUACAAUGGUUGGGACAAUGGGUAUCUACUCCGAAAGGAGUUGGCAAUCUCUUAAACCCAAUCGUAGUUCGAAUUGAGGGCUGUAACUCGCCCUCAUGAAGCUGGAAUCCGUAGUAAUCGCGUUUCAACAUAGCGCGGUGA
rnacentral:rRNA from 1 species